GAGGGUAUAGCUCAAGUGGUAGAGCUCAUGCUUAGCAUGCACGAGGUCCUGGGUUCAAUCCCCAGUGCCUCUU
rnacentral:tRNA from 1 species